rnacentral:rRNA from 1 species
AUUGAACGCUGGCGGCAGGCUUAACACAUGCAAGUCGAGCGGAGAUGAGGUGCUUGCACCUUAUCUUAGCGGCGGACGGGUGAGUAAUGCUUAGGAAUCUGCCUAUUAGUGGGGGACAACAUUCCGAAAGGAAUGCUAAUACCGCAUACGUCCUACGGGAGAAAGCAGGGGAUCUUCGGACCUUGCGCUAAUAGAUGAGCCUAAGUCGGAUUAGCUAGUUGGUGGGGUAGAGGCCUACCAAGGCGACGAUCUGUAGCGGGUCUGAGAGGAUGAUCCGCCACACUGGGACUGAGACACGGCCCAGACUCCUACGGGAGGCAGCAGUGGGGAAUAUUGGACAAUGGGGGGAACCCUGAUCCAGCCAUGCCGCGUGUGUGAAGAAGGCCUUAUGGUUGUAAAGCACUUUAAGCGAGGAGGAGGCUACUGAGACUAAUACUCUUGGAUAGUGGACGUUACUCACAGAAUAAGCACCGGCUAACUCUGUGCCAGCCGCCGCGGUAAUAC